rnacentral:lncRNA from 1 species
UCCACUCAAUUGUCAAUAAUCAUAUACAGUAUGCCUUGUAAAAUUUAAUUUUACAGAACAUGUAGUGAACACAGCAUUCUCUGUCAAAGGGUUAACGUGUGCAGCAACUAUUACCACUACAUUUUAUCCAAAAAGGUAAAAAAAGAGGUAAAAACAACAAGAGCCAUUACAGCAGAAUUCCCACAACUUCCAAAUAAAUUUCCUUUCUUCUCCAUGCUUCUUCAUUUCAUCCAAAAAGGUAAAAAAGAGGUAAAAAUAAAAAGAGCCAUUACAACUGAAUUCCCACAACUUUCAAGUGGUUUUCCUUUCUUCUCCAUGCUCUUCAUUGUGUACCACGUUACCUUGAUGGAUCCUUAUGUUACUCUAGCAGCUAUCAUCAGAGAGAGCAUUUAUA